rnacentral:rRNA from 1 species
AGAAUAUACCGGUUCUCGUUAGAUCACCGAAGUCAAGCAUCAUUGGGCGCGGUCGGUACUUGGGUGGGUGACCACCUGGGAACACUGCGUGCCGUU